AUUGAACGCUGGCGGCAGGCCUAACACAUGCAAGUCGAACGAGUGGCGGACGGGUGAGUAAUGUCUGGGAAACUUCCUGCUGGAGGGGGAUAACUACUGGAAACGGUAGCUAAUACCGCCUACCAUCGGAUGUGCCCAGAUGGGAUUAGCUAGUAGGUGGGGUAAAGGCUCACCUAGGCGACGAUCCCUAGCUGGUCGGAGAGGAUGACCAGCCACACUGGACCUGCGACACGGUCCAGACCCCUACGGGAGGCAGCAGUGGGGAAUAUUGCACAAGGGGCGCAAGCCGGAUGCAGCCAUGCGGCGUGUAUGAAGAAGGCCUUCGGGUGGUAAAGUACGUUCAGCGGGGAGGCGUUACCCGCAGAAGAAGCACCGGCUAACUCCGUGCCAGCAGCCGCGGUAAUUC
rnacentral:rRNA from 1 species